rnacentral:misc_RNA from 1 species
GAUGAAGAACGUAGCGAAAUGCGAUAAGUAAUGUGAAUUGCAGAAUUCAGUGAAUCAUCGAAUCUUUGAACGCACAUUGUGCCCGCCAGCACUCUGGCGGGCAUGCCUGUUCGAGCGUCAUUUCAACCAUCAAGCCCCCAGGGGCUUGUGCUGGGGCCCUGCGGCUGCCCGCAGGCCCUGAAAACCAGUGGCGGGCUCGCUAGUCACACCGAGCGCAGUAGCACAUCUCGCUCAGGGCGUGCGGCGGGCUCCUGCCGUGAAACCCCCCACUGUAACCCCAAAGGUUGACCUCGGAUCAGGUAGGAAUACCCGCUGAACUUAAGCAUAUCAAUAAGCGGAGGA